GCUUAAGGUAUUUCAGUCUGUUUUAUGUUACUCAUUUGCGAAAAGCAGGCUCAUCGAAUACAGGUGAGUUUCAACGCGUCUUGAAUAUGGCAGCAUUUAAAAGUCUUCAGACCAGGCAUGGUGGCUCAUGCCUGUCAUCCCAGCACUUUGGGAGGCCAAGGUGGGAGGAUUGCUUGAGGCCAGGAGUUCGAGACCAGCCUGUUCAGCAUAGCAGGACCCCCAUCUCUACAAAAACUAAACAGAUUAGCUAGGUGUGGUGGUGUGUGCCUGUAGUCCUAGCUGCUUGGGAGGCUGAGGCAGGCGGAUAGCCUGAGCACAGGAGUUGGAGGCUGCAGUAAGCCAUGAUUACACCACUGCACUUGAGCCUGGGCAGCAGAGUGAGACCUGUCUUUAAAAAAAAAAAGGAGCUGGGCACGGUGGCUCAUGCCUGUAAUCCCAGCACUUUGGGAGGCCGAGGCAGGCAGAUCACGAGGUCAGGAGAUCGAGACCAUCCUGGCUAACAGUGAAACCCUGUCUCUACUGAAAAUACAAAAAAAAUCAGCCGGGCGUGGUGGCGGGUGCCUGUAGUCCCAGCUGCUCGGGAGGCUGAGGCAGGAGAAUGGCAUGAACCCAGGAGUUGGAGCUUGCAGUGAGCCGAGAUUGUGCCACUGCACUCCAGCCUGGGCGACAGUGAGACUGCUUCUCAAAAAAAAAAAAAAAAAAAAAAAAAAGAAAGGGUCUUCAAAGACAAUAAGAUCUGUGCUCUCACGUAGGGUGGAUGAGGGGCUGCCAAGUUAGCAAUGAAUGUUUCCCAUUUCUUCUUAGUUUAUGGACUUUCCAUAAACUCAGGAUGGCAGUUUGGUUGGUUGGAGAAGGAUAUGGUGAUGGCGGGAGUUACAAUACAUUACUUAUAGGGGAAGAUAGGCUUUUGAAAGGUUAAAGCUUAAAAGUGAGAAUGGAAAAGGGAUGAAUGAAUGAACAUGAUGAGGUGAGAGGGAAGAGGUAAAGGGAAAAGGAGAACAAGCAACUCUUCUCUGCGUGGCACCUGGGAUGAAUGGUUUCUGGGGACAUCCCUGAUGGCAGUUUUGUGGAGAGGUGCAAAGCUUUAUGUGUUAAGAAAUGAGCUGUAGGCUCAGUGCAGUGGCUCACGCCUGUAAUCCCAGCACUUUGGGAGGCCGAGGUGGGUGAAAAGAAAAAAUGGGCUGGGCGCCGUGGCUCACGCCUGUAAUCCCAGCACUUUGGGAGGCCGAGGUGGGCGGAUCAUGAGGUAAGGAGUUCGAGAGCAGCCUGGCCAACAUGGUGAAACCGUGUCUCUCCAAAAAAAUAGAAAAAACAUCCCUGUAUGGUGGUGAGCACCUGUAGUCCCAGUUACUCAGGAGGCUGAGGCAUGAGAAUCGCUUAAACCUCGGAGGCGGAGGCUGCAAUGAGCUGAGAUGGUGCCACUGCACUCCAGCCUGGGUGACAGAGCUGGGUGGUGGCUCAAGAUAUGUUUUGUAAACCUGAAGAUUUGAGAUCAUAUAAGCCAAAUCGAAACUUAAUUGGCAUUCAUAACUUUUGGUUCUAGAGACUCCAUGAUCAACUAAGAGCCACCAAACAUUUCCCAUGUAGACUAUUUUGACCAUGCUGACUCUACUGACACUGUGGUUACUGAAUUCACUUUAUCUCUAGAAAUUAAUUCUUACUAAUGGAUGUCUGUCACUGUAAGAUCCUUCUCUCCUCUGAAAUAAGGAGAACAUUUUAACUUCAGUAGUUUAAACUAGUGUCCUAAACUAUAGCAUUCAAAAUGAGAUAAUAUGCUAAAGUAAUACACAAACCAAAAAUCCCAGUGGCUAACACAAAAAGUUUUUCUUAUUCAUUUUACAUAUCCAGGGUAAGUCAGUAAUAGACGCAGACACACCCAGAGACCAAGGAUGAGUUGUGAUCUGUCUGCACACAUAGUUCACAAUGCCUGAACUUGCUAUAAUUCUGUGAGAGAGCUAUAAAAGUCUGCUCAGAAACAUUAUAAUGUAAAAUGGACAGAGAAGGACAAUGAGAUAUUUAAUUUGCCACGGCAAAGCCAUUGCUGUGAAGAAUGGAUAAUAUAUGUCAAUGGUAAUAUAUGAAGAAAUAACACAGGUGUCAGUUUCUUGGUCGGGAAUGAAAAUAGUGCCAACCUGUGAUACCUUCACUCUAAUUUUACUUUCUGAGGAAGUUUUCUGUAAUAGUUAUUUGGUGAUAAUUAUUAAUACUGGUGAG